CCUACGGGAGGCAGCAGUGGGGAAUAUUGCACAAUGGGGGAAACCCUGAUGCAGCGACGCCGCGUGAGUGAAGAAGCGUUUCGGCGCGUAAAGCUCUGUCAGCGGGGAAGAAACACGGUUCGCGAGAGCCGCGGACGGUACCCGACCAAGAAGCCCCGGCUAACUACGUGCCAGCAGCCGCGGUAAUACGUAGGGGGCGAGCGUUAUCCGGAUUCACUGGGGGUAAAGGGAGCGUAGACGGCGAGAAAAGUCUGGAGUGAACGGCCGGGGCACAACCCGGGGAGUGCUCUGGAAACUGCUUGUGUUGAGUAAAGUAGAGGAAUGUGGAAUGCAUAGUG
rnacentral:rRNA from 1 species